AAUGAACGCUGGCGGCAGGCCUAACACAUGCAAGUCGAACGGAUCCUUCGGGAUUAGUGGCGGACGGGUGAGUAACGCGUGGGAACAUACCCUUUGGUACGGAAUAGCCUCGGGAAACUGGGAGUAAUACCGGAUGUGGUCGAGAGACGAAAGAUUUAUCGCCAAAGGAUUGGCCCGCGUUGGAUUAGGUAGUUGGUGGGGUGAUGGCCUACCAAGCCGACGACCCAUAGCUGGUUUGCGAGGAUGAUCAGCCACACUAGGACUGAGACACGGCCCAGACUCCUACGGGAGGCAGCAGUGGGGACUCUUAGACAAUGGGGGAAGCCCUGAUCUAGCCAUGCCGCGUGAUCGAUGAAGGCCUUAGGGUUGUAAAGAUCUUUCAGGUGGGAAGAUAAUGACUGUACCACCAGAAGAAGCCCCGGCUAACUCCGUGCCAGCCGCCGCAGUAA
rnacentral:rRNA from 1 species